AUUGAACGCUGGCGGCAUGCCUUACACAUGCAAGUCGAACGGCAGCACGGGAGCAAUCCUGGUGGCGAGUGGCGAACGGGUGAGUAAAGCAUCGGAACGUGCCCAGUCGUGGGGGAUAACGUAGCGAAAGCUACGCUAAUACCGCAUAUGAUCUGUGGAUGAAAGCGGGGGACCGUAAGGCCUCGCGCGAUUGGAGCGGCCGAUGUCAGCUUAGGUAGUUGGGGAGGUAAAGGCUCACCAAGCCGACGAUCUGUAGCUGGUCUGAGAGGACGACCAGCCACACUGGGACUGAGACACGGCCCAGACUCCUACGGGAGGCAGCAGUGGGGAAUUUUGGACAAUGGGCGCAAGCCCGAUCCAGCAAUGCCGCGUGCAGGAUGAAGGCCUUCGGGUUGUAAACUGCUUUUGUACGGAGCGAAACGGCUUCCACUAAUACUGGGGGCUAAUGACGGUACCGUAAGAAUAAGCACCGGCUAACUACGUGCCAGCAGCCGCUGUAAUAC
rnacentral:rRNA from 1 species